CCUACGGGCGGCAGCAGUGGGGAAUAUUGCACAAUGGGGGGAACCCUGAUGCAGCGACGCCGCGUGGGUGAAGGAGUAUUUCGGUAUGUAAAGCCCUAUCAGCAGGGAAGAACAAUGACGGUACCUGACUAAGAAGCACCGGCUAAAUACGUGCCACCAGCAGCGGUAAUACGUAUGGUGCAAGCGUUAUCCGGAUUUAAUGGGUGUAAGGGGAGGGCAGGCGGCGCGGUAGGCUUGGUGUGAAAGCCCGGGGCCCAACCGCGGGACUGCCGUGGAAACUGGCGCGCUGGAGUGCCGGAGGGGUAGGCGGAAUUCCUAGUGUAGCGGUGAAAUGCGUAGAUAUUAGGAGGAACACCAGUGGCGAAGGCGGCCUACUGGACGGUGACUGACGCUGAGGCUCGAAAGCGUGGGGAGCAAACAGGAUUAGAUACCCGUGUAGUC
rnacentral:rRNA from 1 species